GGAUGGGUGUGCCGAAUGGUAAGGCAACGGUCUUGAAAACCGUCGAGCGCAAGCUCAUGCAGGUUCAACUCCUGUCCCAUCCG
rnacentral:tRNA from 1 species